UGGGGGCUCGUCUAGCGGCAGGACAGCAGACUCUGACUCUGCUUACCGUGGUUCGAAUCCACGGCCCCCAGCCA
rnacentral:tRNA from 1 species